rnacentral:piRNA from 1 species
UAUAAACAGGCAGCAGAUGGUAACCAUUAU